GGGGCUGUGGGGUAGCUUAGUUAGCCUUCUAGCUUCGGGAGCUAGCGACCCGGGUGCGAAUCCCGGCAGCCCCA
rnacentral:tRNA from 1 species